ensembl:lincRNA
GGCGGAGGGGACCUUGCGGCGAGGGGCCCGCGGUGGAGGGACCCAAGGGUGGCCCCGCCCCACAUCCGCACUGCGUCCGCCCUGUCUCCAGGACAAACAGGGCCCGCGCCGGCGCCGCACACUCCGCGUGACUUUUACUGUUCCAGGGCCAGGCCCCUGUCACUCCCCAGCUCCGCAGGAGGGCCACGCACCCAUUGCACUGCCGGGGAAACCGAGGCUGGGGAAGCCCAGGCUGCACAGCGGGGGCGGGGGGAGACCUGCGACUGGGGCCCAGUUGGGAGACAUUUGUUGACUGACCCAGUGACCCCUUCUGAGCCGUUCCCAUCCAGGAAGACAUCCGGGGCUCCCGGGAGGGAAACGGCCUGCGGCGGCCCCGUCCCUCCCGCCGGCCCAGGGCUCUGGUUUCGGCCGGAAGCGCCCACCGCAGGGAGCAGGGCAGUCGCCGGCCGGAAAGGCGGCGAGAACAAAGACCUCGCCGCCACCUCCAGCACUGCGGGGACCACGGACCUGGCAGGUCCCGUCCUCUGUCCCCCAGCCCGGGCCUCGGCUCCCCCUGCAGGGUCCCAGCGCGGCGCUGUAGCCGAUGGGUUCCCGCCAAGGUUCUGGCCCCAGGGGACAGAGCUGCGGGGGCACCCAACCAGGGACGAUGGACAAACAAAGGAAGCCGCAGGCAAGCGGCUGAGGAAGGAUAGGGGACAGAGGCCGGGGAGCCUCAAGCCUGCACUCUGGGAGGCUGAGGCAGGAGGAUCCCAUCUCAAGAUUCACAUUCGGGUAGUGAACAUGAGCCCUCCCUCGGGCAGACGCCGGUGCAACCUCAGAGGGGCCGGGGUGCCGCUCAGGAGAGCCGGCCUGACCCCCGCCCCGGCCACCAGAAACAGGAGCCCAUGGAAGUGGUGGGUGCUGCCAAGGUCACUGGGGCCUGGGCACAGUCCAUGGCUGGCAGGGAGCCCGCGGAGAGCUACUGGGGAAGCAGCCCGUGGGCCCUCCACAAGCCGCACCCCAGAUGACCCAGGUCCCUGCGGCUGUGCUCCGAGUACCCGCCAAGGGAGCUGGAGACAAGCGCUCUUCCACCACACCCCGCAGCGGCCUAAGGCGCAGACAACCAGGUGCCUACCAGUGGUGAACAGACAGAGGGUGGCCUGCUCCCAGGGGAAUAUUACUCAGCCAGGAGCAGGGACCAGGUGCUGAUAUACGCUACAAUCUGGAUGGACCUCAGGACUGUAGUGUUGAGUAACAGCAGCCAGACACACAAGGCCAUAGCAGGUGGGAUCCCACUGACAUGCAGUGUCUAGCCCAGGCAGAUCCAGAGAUAGGAAGCAGACUGGUGACUGCCGGGGGCUGGGCAGGGCUGUCUGGGGGACAGCUCCUGGGAAUGAAGCUCCCUUGAAUGGGCUAAAAUCACUGAAUUUUGCACUUUAAAGGGUAAAUUGUACGGUGUGUGAGUUCUUUGUAUCUUAACAACAGCAGCAGGGCUGGGCACGGUGAUGCACACCUCGGAUCCUAGCACGCAGGAGGCUGAGGCAGGAGGAUUUCCGUGAAUCCGAGGCCAGCCUGAGCUGCUUAGUGAGACCCUGUCUCAAAAAAAAAAAAAAGCAGACCAAAAAUCCCAACAAAAACAGAAGGAAUAAGGGAAAGUCUGGGUCUGAGUGCACGGGCAGAAGGCCAGGGGCUGCUGUGUCCCUAGGUCACCUCCUGCAGCGCAACCCCAUCCUGGCCACACAGAGAGGCUCCUGGGGUGGUGGGCAGCGGGAUGUGCCUGGGGCGGUAAACUGAGGCAGCCAGGUCGCAUCCCAGGAGCUCCUGGGUCGGCCGAGGGACCUUAGCUGAGAGGGCCUCGAAUGCCGGCCACACGGCAGUUGCUCAACAAACCCUGGGCGGGGCUGGCGUGCCCUCCGUGGUCAGCCUCGCCCGCCGCGCGCCAGGCCCUGGAUUCCACCCCAGCCCCGCGCAGAUGAGCCCAUGCACAUAAAUAAAUAAUCAUCGGGCCGCGGCUCUGCGACCAGGGCGGCCUAGCGCACGCAGGACCCUGGGCCCCGCCGCGGCUCUGCGACCCGAGAAGAGCGUCCUGCAAACC